rnacentral:rRNA from 1 species
AGUUGAUCAUGGCUCAGGAUGAACGCUAGCUACAGGCUUAACACAUGCAAGUCGAGGGGCAGCAUGGAGUUGCUUGCAAACUCUGAUGGCGACCGGCGCACGGGUGAGUAACGCGUAUCCAACCUUCCCUAUAGUAGAGGAUAGCCCGGCGAAAGUCGGAUUAAUACUCUAUGUUUUCCGUUGCAGACAUCUAAGAUGGAACAAAGGCUUGCCGCUAUAGGAUGGGGGAUGCGUCUGAUUAGGUAGUCGGCGGGGUAACGGCCCACCGAGCCAUCGAUCAGUAGGGGUUCUGAGAGGAAGGUCCCCCACAUUGGAACUGAGACACGGUCCAAACUCCUACGGGAGGCAGCAGUGAGGAAUAUUGGUCAAUGGACGAGAGUCUGAACCAGCCAAGUAGCGUGCAGGACGACGGCCCUAUGGGUUGUAAACUGCUUUUAUGCGGGGAUAAAGUUCACUACGUGUAGUGUUUUGUAGGUACCGCAUGAAUAAGGACCGGCUAAUUCCGUGCCAGCCGCAGC